UACGGAGGGUGCAAGCGUUAUCCGGAUUCACUGGGCUUAAAGGGUGCGUAGGUGGGCAGGUAAGUCUGUGGGGAAAUCUCCGGGCUUAACCCGGAAACUGCCGUUGAUACUAUCUGUCUUGAAUAUAGUGGAGGUGAGCGGAAUAUGUCAUGUAGCGGUGAAAUGCUUAGAUAUGACAUAGAACAUCGAUUGCGAAGGCAGCUCGCUACGCUAUUAUUGACACUGAGGCACGAAAGCGUGGGGAUCAAACAGG
rnacentral:rRNA from 1 species